rnacentral:rRNA from 1 species
GACGAACGCUGGCGGCGUGCUUAACACAUGCAAGUCGAACGGUGAAGCGCCUUCCUUUUUGGUGGGUGUGGAUGAGUGGCGAACGGGUGAGUAACACGUGAGUAACCUGCCCCCUUCUUCUGGAUAACCGCAUGAAAGUGUGGCUAAUACGGGAUAUUCUGGUUCUGUCGCAUGAUGGGUCUGGGAAAGAUAUUGUUUCGGUGGGGGGUGGGCUCGCGGCCUAUCAGCUUGUUGGUGGGGUGAUGGCCUACCAAGGCGGUGACGGGUAGCCGGCCUGAGAGGGUGGACGGUCACACUGGGACUGAGACACGGCCCAGACUCCUACGGGAGGCAGCAGUGGGGAAUAUUGCACAAUGGGCGCAAGCCUGAUGCAGCGACGCCGCGUGAGGGAUGGAGGCCUUCGGGUUGUGAACCUCUUUCGCCAGUGAAGCAGGCCUGCCUCGUUUGUGGGUGGGUUGACGGUAGCUGGAUAAGAAGCGCCGGCUAACUACGUG